rnacentral:SRP_RNA from 1 species
UAGGUAGGUACUAUACGACCAGCUCCCUCUGAACUCCCCCAGGUCUUGACCGAAGCAAGGGUAGGAGGUUGUAGCGGUGCGAUAUAGUUAGCCUACCU